rnacentral:misc_RNA from 1 species
GUUCAAGUCCUCCCAGGCCCACCAAUUUUACAUCACUUUUAAGUGCUUAUAAAAAUUGUAAGCAGUUAUGAAAGCUUGCUGAUAGAAAUUUUAUGGCGCUUAUCCAUUUGGUUUAAACGAUAUGUGACUUAAGCCAUCUAAAAUUAAAGCAGUUCAAAUGCAUAGAAGUUUGAAUUUUAGACAAUGGAAGUAAAUUUGGAUAAUGUGAAUUUUGAGCAGUAUAAAUU